UUUGUUCUCUCUCUCUCCUCCAUCAGAUCUCAAACCUCGCUUCUCCUUCGAUCUUCGCCGUCUUCGCUUCUCAAACCUCACUGACCGCACAAUCUCUCUCAACUCACGCCUUUUCUCUCUCCUCUAAACUCCAUGGUAAUUCUGCAACUCCCAAACCCUAGAAAUUCAAUGAAGAACCCUAACAAAUUUCGAAGAUCUAGAUUCCUCAUUGUGGAAAUUAAAACAACGAUGCAGGCGCACAAAGUACGGAUUGCAAAAUAGGGUUCCAAAUCAAGACGGCAUGUCGAUUCUCGCAGCGGAGAUGGCAACAGCGGGCUUCUCCUCCGCCGGGCUCUCCCAAACCCUCCAAACCCUACAAUAAAAAAUGAAAUGCGAUCCAUAAAGCUAUGAAUCCGAAUUACAGUAUCUUUACAAAUAAUUCAAAUCCUUACUCAAGCUUUUCGCGGAUCAAGCGGCUCUCAGCUUCAAUUCAGUUAGCGGCAUUGCCUCUGACACACCUUGGUGAUAAGGCCAUGUUCUUGGCUCACAUGACUCCGUUUUACCCUAAGGAGCUCACCGUUCUUCUUCGAACUUCCGGGAAGUCAUUGUGGGAAUUUAAUGAUCAGGACAGGAAAGCGUUAGAAGAAGACCCUUCCGUAUUUGAUUAUGAUGAUAUAAAAUCGAAAAUGGUUCAGCUGAAAGCCGAAAAUAAGCAGCAGCGCCAGUUAUUUGAACAAAUGGAAUGAAUAAGAAUGAAAAUGCAACACAAAUCCAACAGAGCAUCUACAUCUGGCACGACUACAUGUAUAUUCAAAUUUGCACUUAUGUUCAACUUUUAGGUUGAAGUCGAAGGAUGACUCUGUUAUAUUUUUUGAGAGAAUAUCAUGUGAGGAAUCCGAAAAAGUUGAGAUGAUUAGCUUCGAGAAGAGCAGUGAUACGACGCCCUGUCAACUCAUCGCUCGAUGCUUAUGGCUUUUGUUGUUGCUCAAAACUGUGAGAUAAAGGUUAAGAACUUGGAUUGUUGAUUGUAAAAGAGUUGCCACAAAAGUAACAUGCAACCUUAUCUUCAUCCGUGAAGAUGAAAGACUGGAGCAAAGCGUGAAUCUCCUAAAUGCCGUCACUUGAUUGACAUUAGUGAUGUAAGACAAAGUUUCCACCUGCUGUUCUAAACCUAUCAUAUCAGUAAUUUGGUUACAGUAGCAAGAUUUUAACCUAUAAGAGAAUCCUGAUGGCAGUAAAUGUGCCUGCUUUUGCGGCAGAAACAAACUAUUUUAUAUUUUUAGUUACUUUGGUACUAAGAUUUGGAUUUUUAGUCAUGUAAGCGCAUGAAUAUUAAAUUGUUUUACUAUUUAGAUUUUUUUAAAUAGGGACGAUUAAUUUUUUUUAGGUGUAUUUUGUGAUCAUUUUUUUCUUGCAUAGUGCUCCAUAUUUUUGUAAUACUACAAUCUCCAUUAUAUUCGCACGCAUCUCACGGUUUUAGGGGAUUUUUUUUUCUUUUUUCUUUUUUUGCUAAAA